GAUGAACGCUGGCGGCAUGCCUAAUACAUGCAAGUCGAACGAGAGGAAGGAAAGCUUGCUUUUCUGAAUCUAGUGGCGAACGGGUGAGUAACACGUAGGUAACCUGCCCAUGUGCCCGGGAUAACUUCUGGAAACGGAUGCUAAAACCGGAUAGGUAGCAGACAAGCAUUUGACUGCUAUUAAAGUGGCUAAGGCCAUGAACAUGGAUGGACCUGGGGUGCAUUAGGUAGUUGGUGAGGUAACGGACCACCAAGGCGACGAUGCAUAGCCGGCCGGAGAGGGAGGACGGCCACAUUGGGACUGAGACACGGCCCAAACUCCUACGGGAGGCAGCAGUAGGUAAUUUUCGUCAAUGGGGGGAAGCCUGAACGAGCAAUGCCGCGUGAGUGAGGAAGGUCUUCGGAUCGUAAAGCUCUGUUGUAAGAGAAAAACGACAUUCAUAGGGAAUGAUGAGUGAGUGAUGGUAUCUUACCAGAAAGUCACGGCUAACUACGUGCCAGCCGCCGCCGUAA
rnacentral:rRNA from 1 species